UACGUAGGUGGCAAGCGUUGUCCGGAUUUAUUGGGCGUAAAGCGAGUGCAGGCGGUUUUUUAAGUCUGAUGUGAAAGCCCUCGGCUCAACCGAGGAAUUGCAUCAGAAACUGUAAGACUUGAGUGCAGAAGAGGAGAGUGGAACUCCAUGUGUAGCGGUGGAAUGCGUAGAUAUAUGGAAGAACACCAGUGGCGAAGGCGGCUCUCUGGUCUGUAACUGACGCUGAGGCUCGAAAGCAUGGGUAGCGAACAGG
rnacentral:rRNA from 1 species